rnacentral:rRNA from 1 species
CCUACGGGAGGCAGCAGUGAGGAAUAUUGGUCAAUGGGCGGAAGCCUGAACCAGCCAAGUCGCGUGAGGGAUUAAGGCCCUGCGGGUCGUAAACCUCUUUUGCCGGGGAGCAGAGGUCCGGACGUGUCCGGGCCGGGAGAGUACCCGGAGAAAAAGCAUGGGCUAACUCCGUGCCAGCAGCCGCGGUAAUACGGAGGAUGCGCGCGUUAUCCGGAUUUAUUGGGUUUAAAGGGUGCGUAGGCGGGCAUUUAAGCCAGCGGUCAAAUGUCGGGGCUCAACCCCGGCCUGCCGUCGGAACUGGGUGCCUUGAGUGUGCGAGAAGUAUGCGGAAUGCGUGGUGUAGCGGUGAUAUGCAUAGAUAUCACGCAGAACCCCGAUUGCGAAGGCAGCAUACCGGCGCCCUACUGACGCUGAGGCACGAAAGUGCGGGUAUCGAACAGGAUUAGAUACCCCAGUAGUC